rnacentral:lncRNA from 1 species
CAGUCACACCCUUUGGAGCUUGAUCGUUCUGCAUACCUAACUAACUAACUAACUAACUCUGUGAAGAGCGAGCGAGCGCUGACUGCAGCAGGGAGGGUUCAAGAGAGCUUUUGUCAUGCAGGGUUGAGUUUAUCUCAGGCUGGCCUUGAGGUCUACAUAUUGCCAAGGAUAACUUUGAACUCCCGAUGCUCUUGCCUCUGCCUUCCAAGUGCUGGGAUUGCAGAAGUCACUACUGUGUGUCCAUCAAAAUGAGGGAUACAUCAAGAGACAGAGACAUGGAACCCUCCGGCGGGCGGUGAACAGAAGCCUCCCGGGGCCAGCAGGCCCAGAUGGAAUCAGAGUUUGGGCCAAAACUGGAGAAGAAGAAAAAAAUACUUGCAUGGUUUCGGAAGCACGAGAUUGAUUGACUGAAAAAAGGAUGAAAUAGAGCCAGGUGUGGUUGCUCAUGCCUAUAAACCAGCACCUGAGAGACUGAGGCAGAAGGAUCGCUCUCAGCGUGAGGCCAGCCUAGACUACAAACAAACAAACAAACAAUGCAGAGG